GACGAACGCUGGCGGCGUGCUUAACACAUGCAAGUCGAACGGUGAUGCCCCAGCUUGCUGGAGUGGCUCAGUGGCGAACGGGUGAGUAACACGUGAGCAACCUGCCCCAGACUCCGGAAUAAGCGCUGGAAACGGCGUCUCAUACUGGAUACGAAACUGGCCCGCAUGGGCAUGGUUUGGAAAGUUUUUCGGUUUGGGAUGGGCUCGCGGCCUAUCAGCUUGUUGGUGUGGUAAUGGCUCACCAAGGCGACGACGGGUAGCCGGCCUGAGCGGGCGACCGGCCACACUGGUACUGAGACACGGCCCAGACUCCUACGGGAGGCAGCAGUGGGUAAUAUUGCACAAUGGGCGAAAGCCUGAUGCAGCGACGCCGCGUGAGGGAUGACGUCCUUCGUGUUGUAAACCUCUUUCAGCAGGGAAGAAGCGAAAGUGACGUUACCUGCAGAAGAGGCACCGGCUAACUACGUG
rnacentral:rRNA from 1 species